rnacentral:rRNA from 1 species
GACGAACGCUGGCGGCGUGCUUAACACAUGCAAGUCGAACGGAAAGGCCCUGCUUUUGCGGGGUGCUCGAGUGGCGAACGGGUGAGUAACACGUGAGUAACCUGCCCUUGACUUUGGGACAACUUCAGGAAACUGGGGCUAAUACCGGAUAGGAGCUCCUGCUGCAUGGUGGGGGUUGGAAAGUUUCGGCGGUUGGGGAUGGACUCGCGGCUUAUCAGCUUGUUGGUGGGGUAGUGGCUUACCAAGGCUUUGACGGGUAGCCGGCCUGAGAGGGUGACCGGCCACAUUGGGACUGAGAUACGGCCCAGACUCCUACGGGAGGCAGCAGUGGGGAAUAUUGCACAAUGGGCGGAAGCCUGAUGCAGCAACGCCGCGUGCGGGAUGACGGCCUUCGGGUUGUAAACCGCUUUCGCCUGUGACGAAGCGUGAGUGACGGUAAUGGGUAAAGAAGCACCGGCUAACUACGUG